rnacentral:lncRNA from 1 species
CUUCCGGCGCACCAAAUGCGCCACCUAUGUACCCUCCACCUCCUUAUGGUUAUGCCUCUUAUUAUCCAUCGGUGACACCAGUUCAGCCGCCACCACCUCCACCACCUGCUGGCGCUGAUCCCUCGCAGAGCCUUGCAAAUGCACCGUGGGCAACUCACAGUGCACCACCUCCACCUCCUUCUGGUGCUGAUCCGUCGCAGAGCAUCGCAAAUGCACCCUGGGCAACUCACAGUGCACCACCUCCACCACCAGCUACUGCUGAUCACUCACAGAGCAUUGCAAGUGCACCUUGGGCCACUCACAAUGCACCGCCUCCACCACCACCACCUUCCAGCAUUGAGCAGCCUCCU